GAUUGUUUCAGCAGUAGGAUGUUAAAAUCGGAAAGACAGAGAAGAUCAGCACGGCCUCUUUGCCAGGACGGCACGUGAAUUCAUCAAGAGUUAGCUAUUUUU